ACAUGCAAGUCGAGCGGUAAGGCCCUUCGGGGUACACGAGCGGCGAACGGGUGAGUAACACGUGAGCAACCUGCCCCUGACUCCGGGAUAAGCGGUGGAAACGCCGUCUAAUACCGGAUAUGACACACCAUCUCCUGGUGGUGUGUGGAAAGUUUUGUCGGUCAGGGAUGGGCUCGCGGCCUAUCAGCUAGUUGGUGGGGUAAAGGCCUACCAAGGCGAUUACGGGUAGCCGGCCUGAGAGGGCGACCGGCCACACUGGGACUGAGACACGGCCCAGACUCCUGCGGGAGGCAGCAGUGGGGAAUAUUGCACAAUGGGCGAAAGCCUGAUGCAGCGACGCCGCGUGGGGGAUGACGGCCUUCGGGUUGUAAACCUCUUUUACCACCAACGCAGGCCCCGGGUUCUCUCGGGGUUGACGGUAGGUGGGGAAUAAGGACCGGCUAACUACGUGCC
rnacentral:rRNA from 1 species